rnacentral:tRNA from 1 species
UUUCUAUAGUUGAAUUACAACGAUGGCUUUUCGAGUCAUAGGUCUUGGAUGGAAGCCAAGUGGAAAU